GCCCUUUGAAAGGGAAACGAUUGAAGUCAGUCGUACUAACGGGGAAUCAACCUUCUGAGGGUGGAAUUGUGGGAUUCGAGGUGCCUUUGUUUUUCACAACCUGCCUUUUUUGGGUGUACUUUCCCGUAUUGUAGGUCAGCAUCGGUUUCGACUGUUAUAAAAUGACUGGAGGAAUGUAGCUUCGAUCUUGCAUUGAAGUGUUAUAGCCUUCGGUAGAUGUGAUGAUCAAGAUUGAGGAUUGCAACGGAUACCCUUCGGGGCUACCUGUCUGAUCUCUGAUCGUUGCUCUGGUGCCGAAAGCUUGCUCACGGUUAUCAAAGUCGAUGGUCAAUAGGUUAGAAUGGGUUAAAUUCGUUAAGGAUGUUGACGU
rnacentral:rRNA from 1 species